CCUGGAGUGACUCUACCCAAGCGUGCCCGGUACCCCCAGGAGUUACUCUACUCGAGCGUGCCCAGUACCCCCAGGAGUGACUCUACCCCAGAGUGCCCAUACCCCCCUGGAGUGACUCUACCCGAGUGUGCCCAUACCCCCCGGGAGUGACUCUACCCGAGUGUUCCCAGUACCCCCUGGAGUAACUAUACUUGAGCGUGCCCAGUACCACCCUGAAGUGACUUUACCCGAGUAUGAGCAGUACUCCCUGGAGUAACUCUACCCGAGCACCUUUUAGUACCCUUUCUGGAGUAAGUACCUCUCAGAGUAAGGUCAGUUCUAGCCUGGAGUGACUAUCCCUGAGGAAGCUGCCAGCUGCCUCCAGGGACACCAUCCUGGCC